rnacentral:rRNA from 1 species
AUUGAACGCUGGCGGCAUGCUUUACACAUGCAAGUCGAACGGUAACAGGCCUUCGGGUGCUGACGAGUGGCGAACGGGUGAGUAAUGCAUCGGAACGUACCCAGAGGUGGGGGAUAACGCAGCGAAAGCUGUGCUAAUACCGCAUGUGAUCUGAGGAUGAAAGCGGGGGACCGAGCAGCAAUGUUUGGCCUCGCGCCUUUGGAGCGGCCGAUGUCGGAUUAGCUAGUUGGUGGGGUAAAGGCCUACCGAGGCGACGAUCCGUAGCUGGUCUGAGAGGACGACCAGCCACACUGGGACUGAGACACGGCCCAGACUCCUACGGGAGGCAGCAGUGGGGAAUUUUGGACAAUGGGCGCAAGCCUGAUCCAGCAAUGCCGCGUGCGGGAAGAAGGCCUUCGGGUUGUAAACCGCUUUUGGCAGGAACGAAACGGUGUCCGCUAAUACCGGGCGCUAAUGACGGUACCUGCAGAAUAAGCACCGGCUAACUACGUG